rnacentral:rRNA from 1 species
ACACGACUACAUUAGAUACCCCGGUAGUCCUAGCCGUAAACGAUACUCGCUAGGUGUCGGCCACGGUGCGACCGUUGUCGGUGCCGUAGGGAAGCCGUGAAGCGAGCCACCUGGGAAGUACGGCCGCAAGGCUGAAACUUAAAGGAAUUGGCGGGGGAGCACCACAACGGGUGGAGCUUGCGGUUUAAUUGGAUUCAACGCCGGAAAUCUUACCGGGACCGACAGCAACAUGAAGGCCAGGCUGAAGACUUUGCCGGAUUAACUG